rnacentral:lncRNA from 1 species
GAACUGCUGUGGGCCAGCCAGUGGGUGCAGAAGGUCUUAUACCCCUGCAGUUGGAGCAGGAAGGAGAACUCGUGAAUGAGUGAGGUUCGCAGUCCUGGAAUACGUGCACUCCAGAGGCAUUUAAUGAAAGUUAUGAUGAAUGUUUUUGACGAGAAAAGAAUGAAAUGAGAGACCAUCCUGAACCUGGAGACUGAAACAAAGAAGCUCC